rnacentral:lncRNA from 1 species
ACGGCUAUGCCCUUCUUCUCAUUUUCAUUAGAGAUAAGGUAACUUACAUGGAUAUUAUGUUAACCAUAAUUAAUUACGUGUCAAGAACCAACAACUUCAUGUUGGUUCUCUCUCUUUUUUCCCUUCUGUACACUCCUCCCUUUUCAUAAAUAGAGACAUCAACCAAUCGGAUGUGUAAAAUAAGCCUCUAAGAAAAAGAGUCUUUGGAUCUACAAAAGAGAGUUCCUUUGUACUCAGUACCCUCACAUCGAGGAUGAGGGGGAGAGUAGUUUGAAAAACCGCUGCGGAAACGAUGACGUCACAAACUUCUUCUUUUUUUUCCUCUCUCUCUUUUUUUUCUUAAGGAAAUAUGUACAAUUAAAAAAAGAGAACAGUUCCCGUUGAGAGUACUCAAUUGCUGUUUGCUGCGAGAGUACAUUGGUUCAACGAACCUUAACAAACCAUUAUCAUUUGAUCUCAUAAUUAAAAAUUACAAUGCAAGACAUUGCUUCAUUCGGUGACGAUUGGCUCCAGGAUAUUAUUAACAGCAUAGACUUUAAAAACUACAAAUUUGUCUCUUCUAAUGAUAAAGUGGAGGAUGAUUUUGAAGACUUUCUUCAAGUCUUUCUACGGGAAGUCUCUCGCUACGAGGAGGAGCCCAAGGUGCCCAUCUUACAGAAAAACCAUCCAGGAGCAUCCUCUUCCAUUAUUUUCCCGUCAAAUCCCUCUAUCUAUUCAAAAUCUUCGUCCAAAAAGUCGCUUGGUCGAAGGCAGAGCAGUGGCUCCUCACGCUUUCUCAUACGCUCUUCUGGUCCCAUUUACUCUAAAAGAACACCAAAACUCCUCACUUCGGUUGCCAUACAGACAUCCACCUAGAUGCCAUUUUUUUCAGUAUUAUUUAUAAAAUACAUGGACAAUCAAGUACAUCAAUCAGCUAUGAAUUGUACUACGUAAAAUUUCGACUCAUCCCCAAUCCCCUCGUAUAAGACAUUUCUGUGAUUAUUUUUGUAUUAUUCAUUCGUCAUUUUGUUUGUAUAUAUCUUUUUUAUUGCAUGAUCUUAUUUUGCAUUUGAAUAUUUCCCACAAUCCUUAUAAAAUAAGAAAACCCAAAAAGUAAUGUUAACUGACUGAAUAUUAUCUGCAUAUCAUAUUUGUACGUUGUCUCAAAUUCCUAUUUCACAAAUCAACUUAUAUUUUAUCAUUGACUCAAAAAGAAAUACGUAUUAAUAGUAAAGGUGAUGAUUAAUUUCAAUAUUUAUUUAUUUCGCUAAUAAAUUUUUUACAUUUUGAUAAAAUAA